CCUACGGGAGGCAGCAGUGGGGAAUUUUGGACAAUGGGGGAAACCCUGAUCCAGCCAUGCCGCGUGCAGGAUGAAGGCCUUCGGGUUGUAAACUGCUUUUGUACGGAACGAAAAGGUCCUUUCUAAUAAAGAGGGCUCAUGACGGUACCGUAAGAAUAAGCACCGGCUAACUACGUGCCAGCAGCCGCGGUAAU
rnacentral:rRNA from 1 species